rnacentral:rRNA from 1 species
GCUGUCGGUUCGCCGCCCGUCGGUGUCAACUGGCAUGUCCUGUGGAACGUCCUGCCGGUGGCGGACCGGGCUUUCGGCUUGCGUAAGGGCUUACGCCCGAAGCAGGCCGAACAGUACCGGCCGCCGGUCCAAUCCCGCCACGGUGCUCUUCACCGAGUGUCGAGGUGGGCCGGCACGUUUACUUUGAACAAAUUAGAGUGCUUAAAGCAGGCUGGUGUCCGCCUGAAUACUGUGUGCAUGGAAUAAUAGAAUAGGACCUCGGUUCUAUUUUGUUGGUUUUCGGAACCCGAGGUAAUGAUUAAUAGGGACAGGCGGGGGCAUUCGUAUUGCGACGUUAGAGGUGAAAUUCUUGGAUCGUCGCAAGACGAACCUAAGCGAAAGCAUUUGCCAAGUAUGUUCUCGUUAAUCAAGAACGAAAGUUAGAGGUUCGAAGGCGAUCAGAUACCGCCCUAGUUCUAACCAUAAACGAUGCCAGCCAGCGAUCCGCCGAAGUUCCUCCGAUGACUCGGCGGGCAGCUUCCGGGAAACCAAAGCUUUUGGGUUCCGGGGGAAGUAUGGUUGCAAAGCUGAAACUUAAAGGAAUUGACGGAAGGGCACCACCAGGAGUGGAGCCUGCGGCUUAAUUUGACUCAACACGGGAAACCUCACCAGGCCCGGACACCGGAAGGAUUGACAGAUUGAGAGCUCUUUCUUGAUUCGGUGGGUGGUGGUGCAUGGCC